rnacentral:sRNA from 1 species
CUGGGAAGGAGAGACACCCAGCAUCCCUAGAACUGCCUGACCUCGUGGGACUCCCUGGCAUGGCACCCAGGCUGAUACUGAUUCCCCCCUCCCUCCCACCCCAUCCCUGUGCCCUGUAGGAGCUGGCAGACCUGAAGCAUGUGCAUGGCAAGCUGAAGAAACAGUUCCAGGAGAAGGUGGCAGAGCUGGCACAUGCCAACCGGCGGGUGGAACAGCACGAGGCCGAGGUGAAGAAGCUGCGGCUGCGGGUGGAGGAGCUCAAGAAGGAGCUGGCCCAGGCUGAGGACGAGCUGGACGAGGCCCACAACCAGGCACGUAAACUGCAGCGGUCGCUGGACGAGCAGACGGAGCAGAGCGAGAACCUGCAAGUGCAACUGGAGCACCUGCAGUCCAGGCUCCGCAGGCAGCAGCAGAACGCUCCCCUCUUUGGGAAGAUCCGCAGUGCUCGCUUUGGCACCGAGGAGGCCGGGGAUGGAGCCAGCGACCUGGACGAGGACGAGGACCUGCAAAUCCAGGUGGCCUAGGGCUUCCUGUGGCUGGGCAGGAUGGGCCGCCCCAUACCUGCCCAGGGUCCAGGCUAACCAGCCACUCAAACUGAUGCAGCACCUAGGCUCACUCUGGGACCAGUCCCUGCCACAGCCGAAUUUCUUCUCUCCCAGGGAUGGCGUCGACAGUCCCACCUACCAAUGCCCUGUGGAAAGGAAGCCUAUGUUUUAUAUAUAUAUACACACACACACACACACACCCCCAGGAGUCUUUGGACCCAUUUGGUUUUAUAAAUACAGGACAGCUCCAAGGCCCAGUCCAGAUGACCUCACCCACCCAGGACUUCACGCAGGGCUGGGCAUGUUGGGGGCGGUUGUUGGAGCC